rnacentral:rRNA from 1 species
AGCAGCAGCCGCGGUAAUGCGUAGGUGGCAAGCGUUGUCCGGAAUUAUUGGGCGUAAAGCGCGCGCAGGCGGAUCGGUCAGUCUGUCUUAAAAGUUCGGGGCUUAACCCCGUGAUGGGAUGGAAACUGCCAAUCUAGAGUAUCGGAGAGGAAAGUGGAAUUCCUAGUGUAGCGGUGAGAUGCGUAGAUAUUAGGAAGAACACCAGUGGCGGAGGCGACUUUCUGGACGAAAACUGACGCUGAGGCGCGAAAGCCAGGGGAGCGAACGGGAUUAGAUACCCCCGUAGUCCCUGUCUCUUAUACA